GGAUUAGAUACCCUGGUAGUCCAUGCCGUAAACGAUGAAUACUAGGUGGGGGGUCACCUAACGACUCCCUGCUGCCGCUAAUGCAUUAAGUAUUCCGCCUGGGGAGUAUGGUCGCAAGGCUGAAACUCAAAGGAAUUGACGGGGGCUCACACAAGCGGUGGAGCAUGUUGAUUAAUUCGAAGCAACGCGCAGAACCUUACCCAGACUUGACAUGUAUGUGGUAGUGAACCGAAAGGGAAUCCACCUCCUUCUGGAGGAGCAUACACAGGUGUUGCAUGGCUGUCGUCAGCUCGUGCCG
rnacentral:rRNA from 1 species